ACGUUUAAGAUGUAGAGGGGAUGGAGAAUUCCCACUAAAGAAUGCAUCUACUAAUGGAAUGCCCGUAUAUAAGCACAGCUUCUUGUUUAAAUGUGAGGCCUCAUGAAUGACAGCAUCUCACCUUGCACUAGUUCUCAGCGGCUGGUUAGUAGUUCUAAAUAAAUCCAAGUCAGCAAAUUAUAUUCCAAAAAGAGAGAACUGAUUAUACACUCACAUAACAAUUGGAACUACUUCAGAGUUAAUGGCCAACAUCUAUCAAAAGAAUGCAAUGUUAUCAUACAACCAUUACUCUAGACAUCAAAUUUUAGAACUCAAGAGAUCAUCACAUUUAGGCAGAUAAAUUGCCUCCGUUCAUGCUUCAGCUUAGCAUUAGCAAUAUUUCUACCUACAGCGCUAAGUUUUAUGGUAAAAAUUAAUUAUUUUUACUGGAAGAAUGUUCGUCUCUCGCAAGUACACAUCAUUUGUUCUCAAUGAGCUUUACUGGAAUAAAUCACUUUACAAGCUGAUGUUAUGCAUAAGCAGAUUAUACAAAAAAUAGAGAAAACUAGUUUGUCAUAAACCUCAAUUUUCAGAAUAUAGACUGCAAUUACUUACAAAAUAGGUUUUACAAAGAGCACCUAAACAUUGGAUUAGUCUCACAUAAAAUCCUCAUGAUACUUUUUGCCUGAACUUUGAUAUGAAAAAAGCACUAAUAUCAUUUCAAGCAUAUUUAAGAUUGAAUCAGUCUAUGAAUCAUCUGAUAUCAAUAUGGACUUUUAUUGGUCUAUGAAUCAGUCUAUGAAUCAUCUGAUAUCAAUAUGAAAAAAGCACUGUAAUUAGUUAUAAAAUCGGUUGUACAAAGAGUACCUAAACAUUGAAUUAGUCUAACAUAAAAUCCUCAUGAUACUUUUGCCUGAACUGUGACAUGAAAAAAGCACCAAUAUCAUUUCAAGAAUACAUAAGAUUGAAUCAAUCUAUGAAUCAUCUAAUAUCAAUGUGGACUUUUAUUGGUCUAUGAAUCAGUCUAUGAAUGAUCUGAUAUCAAUAUGAAAAAAGCACUGUAAUUAGUUAUAAAAUAGGUUUUACAAAGAGUACCUAAACAUUGAACCAGUCUAACAUAAAAUCCUCAUGAUACUUUUUGCCUGAACUGUGAUAUGAAAAAAGCACCAAUAUCAUUUCAAGCAUACAUAAGAUUGAAUCAGUCUAUGAAUCAUCUGAUUUCAAUGUGGACUUUUAUUGGUCAACUGGCAACAAUUUUGAUUUGAUGUGGCUCAUCCCUCAAGUCCUGCCAAAAGCAGUCAAGUAGUCAACAAUGCACUAACGAUUUCUUUCCUUCCAUCUCCUCCUUUCAGUGACAAAGUCAAUGUAACCUCCAACCGGAGCAUCCAUCUAUGCUUUAUGAUCACAGCAUACGCAAUCAACUUUAGUGUAAGUAUAACCAAAUAAGAGGUCCGAACUAGCCUCUUACGUAUCUAACAAGUCAAGGGAGAAAUUUGCUAGGUUGCCACAUCAUAUAGGUAGUUUUAGGUUAACCUAUAAGGGCAGACAUCAAUAGAGAUGAUAAUGAUGCAUUUAGUAACAUUAUUGCACUAAUAGAAUAAAUCAAAUACAUGGGCAGUGUUCAUUGUAUGUGUAGAGAGAUUACAGAUUUCCAUUGGAAUAUGCAUCUGCUUAUGACGUAGCUGGAAUAUUAAAGUAUUUUAGAUAUCCUUCUCAUUUGUAGGAGGGUGUCCGAUUGCUAUAUCUGUUACUGACAUCCCUUGGAAUUUCUGUCCAGCCAGCUGAUUAUGGACCAGGAUGACAAGAUGAAUCUCAUCAGGAUCAGCGAUCUACACCAAUAAUAGAGCCUCUAGUUUGACUAACUUUAAUUUUAAAUUCUUUGUCCAUGAAUUUGUGCACCCCAAACAAGGAACUACCUGGACUCCAAAAUCAAUAUUUGCUCUCACUCUGCAUAAUCUAGACUGUUCUAAACAAAAGAUAUAGUUUAAAAAAUCUAUAAAUUCAUAGGCAGCAGGAUCAAUUAUACCCUAACAAAAAUGGGACAGCUUAUUCAAGAAUUCUUGAUAUUUAAUAGUUAUGCAUGACAGCCUUUUCAAUAAUUGAUCGAAUUAUUUGACUAUAUCCUCUACCUGAAUGGGUAAAAUCAUUCAUCGAAUAAGUACAAUGAGGUGGCUUGUCUUCAAAUGCUCAUGAUAUACAUACUUAAACAGCUGAAUUUUUUGCACUUCUUUUAUUUUAUUUGUAGUUAUAUAAAUAUUACAUGACAAGCACAUUAUUUGUUAUAAGUGCCUGAUGGAAAUAUUAUCCUAGACCAACAUAGAAGAAAAAAGAUUCAGACAUUUGCAGACCCAAUAGUAUCAGACAAGCUAUGUAGAACAGAUGAUUUUCUUAGAUACAUCUGAUGAGAAUUCAAAUCAAUCACCAUUAUCAGAGAAGUAACAACACAAAAAUCCAAUGCCUACCUCACUGUAUCUACAUCAGCAAAUAAAAAUUCUAAUCUUGCAUCCAUGUGAACCCAUUUUUCUCAUCGGUAUACUCACAAUCUAGCAUGAAAAUAUAUUGCCCAUAUAUGCUCGAGGUUACCAUCUCAAUCUACCAAAUCUAAAAGGUUCUACGAAUAUAUGCUCAACUAAAUCUCAAAUGUAAUUCAUUUCGAGAAAAUUUGCUAAAAAAGCACAGAAGUGAGAAGGAGUACCUCCAAGUUAAGCCGUAGGCAAGCAACACUCCUCCUUGGCUGUCGCCAUUCUUGAAGCCAUUCGAUGUUAUAGCUCUCAAUCGCUUACAAACUGGCUCACAUCCAUGCCUAAAAUCCCGCGUGCUGCUGAAAGCCCGAGACAACAUCAUGCGAGGCUGCAUUGAAUUAAUGGCAUCGGCGUAGAAUGCAGCGAAGGGUCUUCCCUUGGCAUUCCAUCCAAGAAGGUCACUUGAUCUUGCGACGCGGUUCAUCGGACCUCGCCGAUCACCAGAGGGAUGUCGUAGAAUCUUCUUCAAUCCGCUGUCUCCCACACUUCGAGGGCGCCUUCGCCGGAUUCCGGUGGAUCCCCGGCAACGUUCUCCUCGACGUUUGGAAGUGAGCUUGGUUGAAGAUGAGAUGAAGGCGAAUCCACACUAUUGUGCCGGCGAUGGUUUUCAUGGGAAGGUGGAAUCCACACCGAGGAAAUGCAUCUCAGAUUGGACACAAUAGAACUCCGGACCAGAAGCCGCGAAGGUGUUUGUGGAAAUGCGUGAAAGUGGCACAGGCGGGCCCCCUUGUUACGCACUAGAGAGACUUAAUAUAAG
rnacentral:lncRNA from 1 species